rnacentral:rRNA from 1 species
GAUGAACGCUGGCGGCGUGCUUAACACAUGCAAGUCGAACGGAAAGGCUCCUGCUUGCCGGGGUUCUCGAGUGGCGAACGGGUGAGUAACACGUGGGUGAUCUGCCCUUCACUUCGGGAUAAGCCUGGGAAACAGGGGCUAAUACCGGAUAGGACCUCAUUAUGCAUGGUGUGGUGGAAAGAUUUUCGGUGUGGGUUGAGCUCGCGGCGUAUCCGCUUGUUGGUGGGGUAGUGGCCUACCAAGGCGUCGACGCGUAGCCGGCCUGAGAGGGUGUACGGCCAUAAGGGAGCUGAGGCACGGUCGAGACUCCUGAGGGAGGCCGCAGUAGGGGAGGUGCCGCAAUGGGCGAAUGCCUGACAGAGCGACGACGCGUGAGGCAUGAAGGUCGUGGGAGCGUAACACUCUGUUAUUUGGGAAGCACCAAUGUGUAAGUACCAAGGGUCUUUUUGAGGGUACCUGAUAAGAAAGCCACGGCUAACUACGUG